rnacentral:rRNA from 1 species
CCUACGGGUGGCAGCAGUGAGGAAUAUUGGUCAAUGGACGCAAGUCUGAACCAGCCAUGCCGCGUGCAGGAAGACUGCCCUAUGGGUUGUAAACUUCUUUUGUACGAGGGUAAACGCAAAUACGCGUAUUUGUCUGAACGUAUCUUACGAAUAAGGAUCGGCUAACUCCGUGCCAGCAGCCGCGGUAAUACGGAGGAUUCAAGCGUUAUCCGGAUUUAUUUGGUGUAAAGUGUGCGUAGGCGGUCGGAUAAGUUAGAGGUGAAAGCCCGAGGAUCAACUUAGGAAUUGCCUCUGAUACUGUGCGGCUAGAGAGUAGUUGCGGUAGGCGGAAUGUAUGGUGUAGCGGUGAAAUGCUUAGAGAUCAUACAGAACACCGAUUGCGAAGGCAGCUUACCAAGCUACUUCUGACGUUGAGGCACGAAAGCGUGGGGAGCAAACAGGAUUAGAUACCCCAGUAGUC